rnacentral:tRNA from 1 species
GCCCGCAUAGCCUAAUGGAUGAGGCGUUUGCCUCCUAAGUAGAAGAUUGUGGUUUCGAGUUUCACCGUGGGUG